CAGAAAAAAAGGCAAACUUAUUGAAAGGUAAGGGCGCAAAGUCACAGGUCUAACGCUUUUUAUGCUAUGACGGCUGGAUUACCUGA
rfam:Bacilli bacterium VT-13-104 contig029, whole genome shotgun sequence.